UGGGGAAUAUUGCACAAUGGGCGAAAGCCUGAUGCAGCGACGCCGCGUGAGGGAUGACGGCCUUCGGGUUGUAAACCUCUUUCAGCAGGGACGAAGCGCAAGUGACGGUACCUGCAGAAGAAGCACCGGCUAACUACGUGCCAGCAGCCGCGGUAAUACGUAGGGUGCAAGCGUUGUCCGGAAUUACUGGGCGUAAAGAGUUCGUAGGCGGUUUGUCGCGUCGUUUGUGAAAACCAGCAGCUCAACUGCUGGCUUGCAGGCGAUACGGGCAGACUUGAGUACUGCAGGGGAGACUGGAAUGCCUGGUGUAGCGGUGAAAUGCGCAGAUAUCAGGAGGAACACCGGUGGCGAAGGCGGGUCUCUGGGCAGUAACGGACGCUGAGGAACGAAAGCGUGGGUAGCGAACAGG
rnacentral:rRNA from 1 species